rnacentral:rRNA from 1 species
AACGAACGCUGGCGGCAGGCCUAACACAUGCAAGUCGAGCGCACCUUCGGGUGAGCGGCGGACGGGUUAGUAACGCGUGGGAAUAUGCCCAGUUCUAAGGAAUAGCCUCGGGAAACUGAGAGUAAUACCUUAUACGCCCUUCGGGGGAAAGAUUUAUCGGAAUUGGAUUAGCCCGCGUUAGAUUAGGUAGUUGGUGGGGUAAUGGCCUACCAAGCCUACGAUCUAUAGCUGGUUUGAGAGGAUGAUCAGCAACACUGGGACUGAGACACGGCCCAGACUCCUACGGGAGGCAGCAGUGGGGAAUCUUGGACAAUGGGGGAAACCCUGAUCCAGCCAUGCCGCGUGAGUGACGAAGGCCCUAGGGUCGUAAAGCUCUUUCAACUGUGAAGAUAAUGACGGUAGCAGUAGAAGAAACCCCGGCUAACUCCGUGCCAGCAGCCGCAGUAAAAC